UGAGCGUCAGUCUUUGUCCAGGGGGCCGCCUUCGCCACCGGUAUUCCUCCAGAUCUCUACGCAUUUCACCGCUACACCUGGAAUUCUACCCCCCUCUACAAGACUCAAGCUUGCCAGUUUCAAAUGCAGUUCCCAGGUUGAGCCCGGGGAUUUCACAUCUGACUUAACAAACCGCCUGCGUGCGCUUUACGCCCAGUAAUUCCGAUUAACGCUUGCACCCUCCGUAUUACCGCGGCUGCUGGCACGGAGUUAGCCGGUGCUUCUUCUGCGAGUAACGUCAAUCGCUAAGGUUAUUAACCUUAACGCCUUCCUCCUCGCUGAAAGUACUUUACAACCCGAAGGCCUUCUUCAUACACGCGGCAUGGCUGCAUCAGGCUUGCGCCCAUUGUGCAAUAUUCCCCACUGCUGCCUCCCGUAGGAGUCUGGACCGUGUCUCAGUUCCAGUGUGGCUGGUCAUCCUCUCAGACCAGCUAGGGAUCGUCGCCUAGGUGAGCCAUUACCCCACCUACUAGCUAAUCCCAUCUGGGCACAUCUGAUGGCAUGAGGCCCGAAGGUCCCCCACUUUGGUCUUGCGACGUUAUGCGGUAUUAGCUACCGUUUCCAGUAGUUAUCCCCCUCCAUCAGGCAGUUUCCCAGACAUUACUCACCCGUCCGCCGCUCGUCACCCGAGAGCAAGCUCUCUGUGC
rnacentral:rRNA from 1 species